GGAUUAGAUACCCUGGUAGUCCACGCCGUAAACGAUGUCUACUAGCCGUUGGGGGGCAUGUCCCCUUAGUGGCGCAGCUAACGCAUUAAGUAGACCGCCUGGGGAGUACGGCCGCAAGGCUAAAACUCAAAGGAAUUGACGGGGGCCCGCACAAGCGGUGGAGCAUGUGGUUUAAUUCGAUGCAACGCGAAGAACCUUACCUACCCUUGACAUUGACAGAAUCCUGUAGAGAUACGGGAGUGCUUCGGCCUGGAAAACAGGUGCUGCAUGGCUGUCGUCAGCUCGUGUUG
rnacentral:rRNA from 1 species